UUUUGCCUCUUUAUAAAUUGCUGGUAAUACCACACCUUGAAUAUGCUGUGCAGUUGUGCAAAUAUGCUGCUGCUUCUGUCAGAGAUAGGUAGACUAGUUUUUAUAGAAAAUGUUUAAUAAUGUAACUUCUGUCUUUUUAGAUAUGGUAUUAAAAAUAGGGAUGAAGUUGUCUUUGUGAAGAAGCUGAAAAAGAAAUAGGGUCUUUGGUAAGUUAUUUUACAUUUCAAAUUAAAUAUGUUAAUAAUUAAUAUGUUAAACCUAAAACCUUUUAUACAGAUAAGUGGUAAUAAUAAGAAUAAGUGCAUCAAUUAUGGAUAUCAAUGAAAAGUACAAACAUAGAAAACCAGUAUGCAAAUUUCUCAUGUUAGUGGGACAAAAUAUUAAAAUAAAUAUUUAAAUAUUUGAAACCAAUCUCCGUUAACUGGUUAAUUCCCAAGGAAAAGAAAGAAGACCGAUAUGUCCCAGAACAAGGAAUGGUGCAAAGCAGGGUUCUCGAAAGGAGCAUAUCUCGGAGCAGCCUGCAGACCGAGAGGCUUAACCCAAUGCAAGAGUCCUGAGAGGGAACAUAAGCCACCAAAAUGGUGGAACGGAAGACAAAAAUAGGCCAGAAAGACUUACCUUGAAAAAACUAUUCAGCCAAGGAGUUCAGGACGCCCACGAUAUAGGCCACUAAGGGAUCAAAAUGCCUCUUCAGACACCAGCCAUGUCAGGCCUAGAUAAUCACCUAGUGCCCGGCGUCCAACAGUCCCAGGGCAACUCUCAAGCCGCAACUCUAGAACAUCAACACGUGUGGGAUCCCAGCCGGAUUCCAAAGGAGAAUCCCGGAGGCAGGAAGCUGUAACAGGUCUUAGCACAACAAACCCCAGAUGUUGAGGGAACCACUGGUGACUCCUCAACAGUGGUACAAUCAAGAGUAUCUACACUCUCAGAAGCUUGGUCUGAUGGAAAGUCCUAUGUAUCAUGGAGAAAGGCAGCAACGAAUACGCUCCCAUGAACGGCCAGACCUGGAUGAACGCAUCCAUUGCUGCGUCGAGAUAAAACCUGAACCCAGCUGAGAAACAACAACAUGAGCGGUUUGCCCUGGACAAUGAAGAGGUCUAGAUGGAGCGGACCCUGAAGGAAGUCCAACACAUGAAACACUGUGGAAAAAAAAAAGGUCAAUCGUUGGCGUCCCACCAGUGCAGGUAAAAAUUCAGGAUGAAGUCCGGAGGGGAGCCGAAAUCGCCUCGUUAUUUUAGGCCCCCUUGUGUCGAAGCUACCAAUGGAGUCAUGCAGCUUGCUGUCCAGUGCAUAAAGAGCCGCCAUGCGGUGCUCCAUGGGAAGGCCACAUUGGCGUUGCCACACAAGCAGAUGGUGUGUUGGACCUAUUCACAUCCACCGGUGUUCCUUCAUUCAGAGCAUCAUUAGCCAUUGGAAAAAUCUAAGUCAGCGGGUCACUGAUAUCAAGGAGCUAGUCUUGCUCCAGGCCCUUGUGCACAUUCUUACCAAAAUGUGCCAGAAAAUUGCAAACACCAGGUCAAAGUCAGGGGUAAAGGCCACUUUAUCCGAUAGUGUAGGAGGAGGGCACCCCACCCUAAGCUUCGCCAUGACUUCCUUAUCCAGAGGGCGGUGGACACCUGAGGAACUUCGAAACGUGGCCAGGGAGCAUCCACUCCGAGGCGCGUGGACGUGUAAGGGGACAUGGGUUAAAGAGAGGCCAUCCCAAAGGAUCCAGUAUCUUCAUGGGAUCGACCGCAAAGGUCGACUGUGGACAUAGAGCAUCAGCCGGGGAAAUGUUGACCACCAUCUACCUAACAUAGCGGGAGUAACAACCAAAGGUGCCUUUGCCGGGCAAGCAGCGUACAAGUUGUCAGCCUUACAGAAAUGAAGUUGUCUUUGUGAAGAAGCUGAAAAAGAAAUAGUGCAAUCGGGGGCCCCCGAGAAGAUGUUCACAUCCACACUUCCAGCCGUACCGGAGCCAAAUCUAGCCAAUUUUUUUUGUCCUUGUGCGUGGGGGCCUCUUAGCCUGUCAAGGGAUGCUUGCAUGCGGAGCUUGUCCCCAGGGGGUGGAGAGACCCAUCUGAGUUAGAGCCUCUAGAGCCAGGGGCGAAACGAGUAGGCUGCGAGGCAAUCGGGGGGGUCAACCCCAUGGGAGGUGGCAAGCGCCUUGGGUAGGGAGUCCAUGAAAGGGACACACAGGCAGGCCUGGAGGCCUUCUGACACAUAAAGACUGAGACAUCGGCCAUAGUAGUUCCACUGGAACACAGAAAAAAGCAAAGGUCAGUGAGGUAGAGGGCCCAUGGCAGGCUUGGGGUCACCCAGAAUGCAAGAGGGGGUCAACCAACAAGCAGAGCUUAAAGCAGAGCAGCCCAAUAGAGAAGGGGUCACCCUCUGUCUGGUGGAAAUAUUUGUGAAUGAGAAGAUGGGCUGGCUGUGAGUGAUCAGACGGCACCCUGUGACUGGUCAUGAGUGACAGAAUGGCUAGCUGUGAGUGACAGGAUGGCCCACCUGUGUUCGGAUGUGAGCAACAGGAUGGUCCACCUGUGGCUGGAUGUGAGUGACAGGAUGACUCCUUGUGGCUGGCUGCCAGGAAUAGGAAUCAGCAGCCGAAACAUCAUGGCUCGGACAGUACUGGGAAGGGUCACUCAGGCACUAGACAUUGUAAGUCUGUGAGGUCAGUGUGACGAAGUGCCCUUUGCCACUUGGUCCUGGAGAGACCUGCUUGCCAGCCUCCUGCCCUGUGACUAUGGCCCCUGGGAGAUUUUUCCCUUUAAAACCAGCAUUUGGGCUUAUAGACUUUUAUUGGACUGUGUAUGGCCCUUUAAGGACUGUAUUUGGGCUUCUGAGACUUAUUGGAACAAUACCCCUUUAAGACGGUGUCCCCAGAGACCCAGGACCGGUGCAAAUAAUUUUGGGUACAUAGGCGAAGAUGCAUUUUUCCGCCCCCCCCAAAAACAUAUUCGCCCAUGUGCCUCUUAACCUCCCUUUUGUGUUUCUUAUCCCGUCUUUUAAAUAUCUGACUCCCUUUAGUGUAUUUUAUCUCCUAUUUUUGCCUUUGUGUGUCUCCUAUCUCUCCUCUUUGUAUGACUCUUACAUCCUCACACAUUUUGUGUCUUACUUCUCCCAGCCCCUUUGUGUGACUCCUUUUCUCCCAGCCCCUUUGUGUCUUUUAUUCUUCCCAGCUCCUUUGUGUGUCUCUUUCCUUCUCAAGCCCCGCUGUGUGUUUCUUUUAUAUCCAGCCCCUCUCCCUGUCCCAUAAUGGUCCCCUCCCUUCUCUGACCCAUACUGUUCCUCUCCCCUCUCUCCUCCUUUCCCUGUUCCUCAGUGUUCCUUUCCCUUCCCCCCUCUCCUCUGUUCCCUGUUGCUUAGUGUUCCUCUCCCCCCCUCCCUCCUUUUCCUGUACCUUAGGGUAUCUCUCCCCUCCUCUCCCUGUCCCUUGGUGCGCCACCCACCCCCAUAGUGGUCCACUCCCCUUCCUGGUGUGCCUCCUACCUUUCUUGUAGCGUGGCUGAGCGGAGCGAAUCCUGGUACAGUGAGCUUUUCCUGUCAGUCCUGCUAGGAACAGGAAACAGAAGUUCCUGUACCACGGUACACUCCACUUGGCAACGCUACAGUCAGGGGUGUAGAAACACUGACAGUCACACACACUCAAUGACAAACACACAGACAUCUCUGACAGCCAGACUCACUUAUCUGACACACUCAUUCAUUGACAGACACUCACACGCACACUGACAGACACACAAACACUGACAGACUCAUUGACAAACACACACUAACACACACACACACACUCACAGACACUGACACACACGUACUCACAUGCACACACGCACAUACUGACACACACUAACUCACACAUACACUGACAGAACCACACACACCUAUUCACAUGCGCACACACACACACACACACUGACACUGACAGACACACUCACUCACACACACUGACAGACACACAUACUCACAUGCACAGACACACUCACUCACACACUGACAGACACACAUACUCACAUGCACACACACACACACACUGACAGGCACACUCACUCACACACAGACACACACACACACACACACACACACACACUGACACACACACACACACACACACACACACUGACAGACACAUUCACUCACACACUGACAGACACACUCACACACUCACUCACACACACACUGACAGACACACUCACUCACACACACACUGACAGACACAUUCACUCACACACACACUGACAGACACACUCACUCACACACACACUGACACACACACACACACUGACAGACACACUCACUCACACACACACUGACAGACACACACACUGACAGACACAGUCACACACACACUGACAGACACACUCACACACACUGACAGACACACUCACACACACACUGACAGACACACACACACACACACAAUCUCACAGACACACAUACUCACAUGCACACACACACACACACAUAAAAAUUAAUAAUCUAAAUUAAAUAAAAAUUUCCCACCCAGCCUCCCUACCUGGACAGCUGGCGUGGGUCUCUCAUUGGUGGUCCAGUGGGGCUGCUGGGAGGCGUGCUGCUGAUCUCUCUGAUCUGCUCCCUCGCAGGCUGUUUACUGAUGCCGCGGGAGCCGGAAUUUGACGUCAUCAGUAAACAGCCUGCGAGGGAGCAGAUGAGAGAGAUCAGAGCUCCCUCGCCACCUCGGCAUCCAAUUCAGCCGCACGCCGCGCCGGGGAUCCAGGAGGUGACCUGGCAGGAGGGAGCACUUCCCUCCUGCCGGUCACUGGAAUUUUGCGCCCCCAGAGCCGGUGCGCCCUAAGGCGGUGCGACCCCAGACCUUCAAAAUACUUGGUUUAUGGCUACACAUUUGCAUAAACACCGCUGACCCUUACCUUCUCCUCCAUUCAGUAUUCCUGUUUCACAAUUUGAACACACAGUGAGACUAAGCUAUUUCUGAGUGAAAUUGACCAACCGCACAGCCCAAAUCUAUGGAACUGUUUUGGGCAGGAAAAUGUGCUUGCGGUCCGUCACAAAGGACUUCCGACUAACUUUUUAACCCCUGGAGGGAAUUGCCUGAAUUUUGGAUAUGUUUAUAUUUAAAGUAUGCUGAUUCAUAAUAUGGAGAUUGGAUGUAUAUUUUUAAAGUUAUAGUGAAUGUAUAAAAAGUAUAUUUUUCCUGCCUAUAUCACAGGCAGAGGGGAGGAUUUUGUGGGAAUGAAUUGGAAUGUUUUACUGUAUUAUAUGUGUUUUAUUGGUUGUUCUACAAAACCCUGUGGGCGGUACUGUAUGUGUAAAACCUGCAUAAAAGAAAGCCCUUUGGUGCUGAUUAAAAGAGAUCUUCUUGACCCUCAACACGUAGUCUUGUCUCGUGAUUGGAGGGGAACUGCUACAUUCACACUGGGGAUUGCUAUACUUUGUAUACUCCCCUGAGCUUUAAUCACUUAGCUCUUUUAAGAGCUGGUUCCUGAUACGCUCUCCUGGAGGAGAGGUCUUCACCACAUGGUCCUGGAGGACAGAGGCUGAUCCAGGGUGGAAGGAAGAUGGCGAGACUCUAGUUAAGCUACCGUGGUUGUGGAGUCUGUGGUGGUUGUGGUGUCCGGUGCGGUGGUUGUGGUCUUCGGCGCAAGCUAGAAAAGCGUCCAUCAACAGAGUACGAGGGAUUCCGUCAGUAAUAAGGGGCCUGAACACCAGGCAUACAGAGAUGUGGAACUCUGCAACAGACAAUCUCCCCUACGGGGGGUGGGGGGAGGGUGCUGGAAAACACAAAACAAACAAUACAAUUUAGUAGGUAGUAAUGCAAACAAACAGUGAGGGGGAGCAGCGCAUCCAUGUCUACAGAGUACAUACUGUGCUGUCCUCACAUAAGAAAGAACCUGCAAGAGAGAGGAGGAAAAAAAGGGGAUCAGCCACAUGGCCAGUAGAACCCCCCAUGCAGCGCUGCAAGUGUGGCCCAAUGGGUGAGACAAAAAGCAAGCGCGUGGGAGCCACGUGGCUCCGAUAAAAUGGCCGCCAUGGCCUAAUGCUGCAAAUGCAGCCGCUUGGCGUAAAGCGCCCACCAACCGGGAGAGCACACAGGAUGCGGCGGUUGAGUACAUGGCGCAGAGCGUUGAAAUCUAUUUGGGGGUGGGGGUGUGUGGGAGAGCCAACAAGGGCAAAGGGGCGUGGCGGACUCACAAGAGUGCUGCGGUUGUAGCAAUGCACAGUAAGGGGAGACCAGAGCAGGGGAAAACCCACAAAGUUGUCCACACUUGCCCCACACAAAAGUAAAUGUAAUAAAUAACCAAACAUACUAACUAAAAACAGCUUAGAAAUCAAGGCAAACAUGCAGCAUAAAGUAAUACCUGAACAAUAAAGCAAUAAACAGCCCCGAGCAGACACUCUCUGAGUUAGGGAAUGCCCAUCAGGCACACAGCCGAAGAGCCCCACACAAAAACUGGAUGGAAUAGAUAACCAAACAUACUAACUAAAUACAUCUUAGAAAUCAAGGCAAACAUGCAGCAUAUAAACAAUAAAUACAUACAACAUAUACAACAAUAUACAGGAACAAUAAAUCAAACAGUCCAGAGCAGGCACACUCUCUGAGUUGGGGAGCUCACCUGGAGGCAGCAGCAAAGAAAGAGGAAGUGGGAGGGUCUGCCUGAGAGUUUUUUGUUCUACUGUUCUUUUGUUCUGAUUGGUAGUUUCUGAAAAGUUAUAUUAACUAUUUAUUUGCUACUGGAGGUUUCAGUAAAGAAGGUAAAGCAAAUAUGAAGCCUCCAGUCUUGCCAUAAAAUUUAGAUCUGUUUAGUUUAGAAAAGCAGUGCAUAAGAGGGAUAUGAUAACAUGAUAAGAAUAUAUUCAGGGCCAAUACAAACUGUUGCGUAGAGAUCUGUUUGUAAACAGGACUAUACAUAGGACAAAAGGUCACACAUUUUGACUGAUAAAAAGAUUUAGGAAAGGGUUCUUUACAAAAGAUGUGGAAUUUUCUGCCUGAACUGGUCAUUGUAUCACAUCUGUACAGAUUUGUAAAGAGUGACUGGAUGAAUUGUUGCAAAACCAUAAUAAUCAGGGUCAUAAUAUUUAAUCUUCAAUCUCAGUUAGUGGACCAUGUUCAGCAGGUCACCUUGCUACAUAAAUACUUAUACGAUAUUAUUAAAUUAAACUAUGAUAUGGAUGGUAUAAUAGGGAUAGGGCUCUAAAUGUGUUAUGUGCUUGAGACUUAUAACUUACCCUACAAUGUACACAUCAAUGCAAACUAGAUAUGUAUUCAGAUAUAUUCAAAGAAAGCUUAUGUGUUUUCUACCUAUCAUAACUACCUUAUCCAAGACAAUAAAUCUAUGGAUGCGUCUAUCACCCAAAAUAUUAAUAAAUGUGUACAUGAAAUAUUGGUCAGAAACCUGAAUGACAAUAAUACAAACUGCGUGCACAAAAAAUACAGUGGCAAACUACAGGUAUAAAUGGUAACGCAUGAGAAUAUUGUAGCAAUCCAAGAAUAGAUGAUCCAAGAUUCAGUCAGUACCUGAGAGUGGUAGGUGUUUCUGCAGGAUGUAAAAUGCAGAUCUUCACUGAGUUUCAGAGUGGUAGGUGUUUCUGCAGGAUGUAAAAUGCAGAUCUUCACUUCAGAUCUAGAGGAGUCUGGUGUUCACUCCUCCUUGUCCCUUCUAUCUCCUCUCCUUCCUUCUACUUACUUAACAGUUCACUAGAUAUACUAUUGACUUCCAUUUGAUUACAUGGGUCACUUGUGAUUGGUUGGUGCUAUGUUUGCUUUUUCCCUCCUGGCCUUUGGCUACACAACACACAUCUAACAUGCCCCUGGGGUCUUUCUCAUAUGUACCUGAAUAGAGUUACAGAUUGCUAUCUUUAUAUGACCCACUGGAAUCCCAACAAGAUUAUUAUCAUCAAACAUUCCCAUUGUCUCUUGAGUUGUGUGGACAACACUACGGAUAAAACCUACUAUCUUGACAUACUUUUGUUUAUGGCUGCCCAUCCUAUAAACAAAAACCUCUAUUUCUAACUGACCACAUUCGGCCCUACAGCCAUCACGCAUACUCCCAUUCUCACACAUUUUGAUAUUAUAUUAGUACCCAUUUAUAAAACAUAAUGCCAAGAAUUUAUAAAAUUAGUUACUCCUCCAGCAGCAAUGGGGUUAAUCUCUGUAUGUGCAGGAUUUUAAAGCAGAGUGCUGCACAUACACAAUUCAGGUACAUUAUCAUUUGAAAUCGCUGAUCAUGGGGCUUGGAGUAAUCCUUUAAAGAAACACAAAUCAGGUUUUGAGUGGUGGAGCGUUUGUUUUGAUUACCUGGAAGAAACCAUUAUUCCGUACGUGAAUGCAAUCUGCUAAUUGUUGGAUUAACAUUUGUCACCAAGUGGUUCCUGUUCAGGAAUCAUACAGAAUACAAUUUUUAAAUUAGCUGUGCUUCUCUCUAGCUAUCACUUUAAUGGUUCUGGUUAGUAUGUCUAGAAUGUAUUGAUAGUAAUCAAUCAUAAUGCUAUUUUCAACUCUUUCUUCUAUAUAAAUAAUCAUUAAAACUGGCAAAUUUGGGGUCUUUGCAUAUUUUGCAAGGGGACAGGCUUGGUUUGUGUGCCGCAACCCACUGGAGAAGAUACCUGGAUAUUUACUUAAAUGACUAUUUAGGUAAGCUUGAGUGCAUUUAACAAUACAAUGUUUUGUUUUUUUUUCUUUUCUUUUUAUAGAACAUCAUCAAAUACAAAGGGAGAAAUGUACAACUAUAUUCUUUAACAAAGCUUGGUAUCAUGUUGUCAAAGACAUCUACCUAAAUUAUUCCCUUCAUAUCAAAGCUUCCGUGUAGUAACAACACCAAUGGUCGUAUCUGAAUAUACAAAAGCAACAGGAAUCCUCACUUCAAACAACACACAUUUUUGAAAAUUAGUUCCUCUGUCUCAGGAAGAUCUCAGAGUAUAGUUUCAACAACUGGUAUGGCAUGCUCGGCAUUCUCAUCCUUUUGUAGGGCAAAUUAUUUUUUUAAGUUUAGUUGGACAGUAAUAGCAUCUUGAUCCAAGGAAGUAUUUGGAAACUAGCUGGAAGAUACAUAUUUUACUUCUUAAAUGCAGUAAUAAUGACAUAAGAAUUUGUAUUACUUUUUUAAUAAACAUUUUUAUAUCUCACUAA
rnacentral:lncRNA from 1 species